CCUACGGGUGGCUGCAGUGAGGGAUAUUGGUCAAUGGGGGAAACCCUGAACCAGCAACGCCGCGUGAGGGAAGACGGUUUUCGGAUUGUAAACCCCUGUCCUCUGUGAAGCUAAUGACGGUAGCAGAGGAGGAAGCUCCUGCGUACUACGUGCCAGCAGCCGCGGUAAUACGUAGGGAGCACGCGUUGUCCGGAUUUACUGGGUGUAAAGGGUGCGUAGGCGGGCUUGCAAGGCAGAAGUGAAAUCUAUGGGCUUAACCCAUAAACUGCUUUUGAAACUGUAAGUCUUGAGUGAAGUAGAGGUAGGCGGAAUGCCUGGUGUAGCGGUGAAAUGCGUAGAGAUCGGGAAGAACACCAGUGGCGAAGGCGGCCUACUGGGCUUUAACUGACGCUGAGGCACGAAAGCGUGGGUAGCAAACAGGAUUAGAUACCCCGGUAGUC
rnacentral:rRNA from 1 species